AUUGAACGCUGGCGGCAGGCCUAACACAUGCAAGUCGAGCGGAGCGGCGGACGGGUGAGUAAUACAUAGGAAUCUGCCUGGUAGUGGGGGAUAAGGUCCGGAAACGGGCGCUAAUACAGCAUACUAUCAGAUGAGACUAGGUCGGAUUAGCUAGUUGGUGGGGUAAAGGCAUACCAAGGCGACGAUCCGUAACUGGUCUGAGAGGAUGAGCAGUCAGACUGGAACUGAGACACGGUCCAGACUCCUACGGGAGGCAGCAGUGGGGAAGAUUGGACAAUGGGCGAAAGCCUGAUCCAGCCAUGUCGCGUGUGUGAAGAAGGUCUUCGGAUUGUAAAGCACUUUAAGUUGGGAGGCGUUACCAACAGAAUAAGCACCGGCUAACUUCGUGCCAGCAGCCGCGGUAAUUC
rnacentral:rRNA from 1 species